GAUGAACGCUGGCUACAGGCUUAACACAUGCAAGUCGAGGGGAAACGACGGGGAAGCUUGCUUCCCCGGGCGUCGACCGGCGCACGGGUGAGUAACGCGUAUCCAACCUGCCUCUGACUGAGGGAUAACCCGUCGAAAGUCGGCCUAAUACCUCAUUGCAUCUUCUGCGGGCCUCCAACAACGAUUCAAGAUUUCGUCGUGCAGGGAUGGGGAUGCGUCUGAUUAGCUUGUUGGCGGGUUACCGGCCCACCAAGGCUUCGAUCAGUAGGGGUUCUGAGAGUAAGGUGCCCGAGAGUGGGACUGAGCAACGGGCGAAACUGCUACGGGAGGCAGCAGUGAGGAAUAUUGGACUAGGGGCGGGAGCAUGAACCAGCCAAGUAGGGUGCAGGAUGACGGCGUUAGGGGUGGUAAACUGCUGUUAGGCGGGGAUAAAGGGAGGGACGUGACCGUCAGUGCAGGUACCGCAUGAAUAAGGACCGGCUAAUUCCGUG
rnacentral:rRNA from 1 species